GCUAUGCUGUGCUUAAAAUCCUGUGCUGUAGAUAGCUGCCCUGUUCAAACUAACACCGAUCACUAUGCAUGUUCUAUGUGUCUACUCCAUUAACCUCACAGACAAAACAGCUAACUACACUAUAUAUAAAUAUGUGGACACCUGACCAUCAUACCCAUAUGUGGUUCUUCCCCAAACUGUUGAAGCUCACAGUUUUAUAGGAUGUUUUUGUAUGCUGUAGCAUUACAAUUUCCCUUCACUGGAACUAUGAGGAUCAAACAUGCUUCAGCAUGACAGCACCCCUGUGCACUUCAGCAUGACAGCACCCCUGUGCACUAAGUGAGGUCCAUGAAGACAUGGUUUGCCAAGGUUGGUUUGGAAGAACUUAAGUGGCCUGCACAGAGCUCUGACCUCAACCCCACUGCACACCUUUGGGAUGAACUGGAAUGCUGACUGUGCCCCAGGCCUCCUUGCCUGACAUCAGUGCCCAACCUCAUUAAUGCUCUUGUGGCUGAAUGGGCAAUUUCUCACAGCCAUGCUCCAAAAUCUAGAGGAAAGCCUUCCCAGAAGAGUGUAGGAUAUUAUAUCAGCAAAGGGUGGAAUGAAUCUGGAAUGGGAUGUUUGAUAAGCACAUAUGGGUGUGAUGUUCAGGAGUCCACAUACUUUUGGCCAUAUAGUGUACCUCUACUAUUUCUAUCUACUAUUACACAUGGCUGUUGCUCCUUUGGUCUACUGUAGCACUCUAGAAUAGUUUGAUCUGCAUACCUUUUUGCCUACUCUGACAAAGAACAACUUAUUUCCUUUUGUUUGUUUGCAUCAGAGCACUUUGCUCUAUGUAUAUGGUCUUAGCAACAGUUUAAACAGUAACAAAAGCCUUACGAAAAGCCUGUCAGACUGUAGAUGUUCAAAUCAGUUCCAGAUUUUCCCUGUUGAUGAUGACCUUGAUUACACACAUAGGUACCAAAGAUAUUUUGUGAAAAUGAGAGUAUUUACUAAGGGUUUAUUCUUAACUCAUAACUAUGUGUGUCCAUGCAGACACAGCAGCAGUAUUGUUCACAACCUUGACCUCCCACCUUAUGUAUGUCUAGAGGACUAAAUGCAACAUUCACUAGAAUGGCACAUCAGAGCCAAAACAUCCCUAUCCAGGAGGUGUAGCAGUGAGACUUGGAGUGUUUGAAAAUGGAAACGUUUGCUGAUGGGAAACAGGUGCCUAAGGCUUCUCCCUUUCUUGUAACAGGAGAGUCCAGUUGCUGGAGAAAUAGCAGCCUGUCAAAGAAGUUUGGCAUAAACCAGAUAGUGUUAGCAGGUUAGACACAGAUCAGGUAAGCAGAUGGCUUGAAUCACUCAAUCUUGCCCAAUAUAACUGAAUUUGGAAAACAAAAAUACAGAUAAACACAAACAGCUGUUGUUGUUCUAGUCACUAGCCGGCAAUCGUGAGUUUGUGAGCUAAACAACUUCUCAACUGAGUAACAAUACAAACUACACAACAGACUGUCACCUAUCAUUUAUUAAUGUCCCACCAAAUUAGAGAACAAAUAAAUGUCUUACCUGUUCAGCAAGAAAAAAAAUCUAAUACUCUGUCAGUCUUGAAUCCUUUUUUUCUUAUUACAGUAUAAUGUCAGACACUUUUACUCUCCUACUCCCAUUUGCUUUGUUAAUACUCUCUCACUCCUGAUUGGCUGUGGCUCUUGCCAAUCACCAUGGAGUCAGACUCCUUUAAUGCCCGGAGAUGGGACGUGGUGUCAUUUGGUUUAUCUAAACUGGCAUACGAUGUAUGCAUACAACUAUUCUGCCAGUUUUGAGCCAGUACCUCUGACACAGCACUGAGUGAAUUACUAUUACAGGAUUGUCAGUGACUCACAGCAAUUCAGCAAUUCAGAAAUUUCAGAAUUGUUUUUUCUCCCCUGACUCAAUAAUAAUGUAUUUAUUAUUUUGAAAAAAUUCUGUGCACCAUCGCUUUAAAUUACACCAGAAAUAAGUGUUUUAGCUGCUAGAUGAUAGCAAUGGUCUUAAAUAGGAAUGCAAGUCAGCUUGCCAUUCUUCUGAAGGCAUUGCCAUAGAAAUGCAAAGUAAUUCUGAUGUCCUGUUGUGCUUUUCUAUUCACAUUACAUGGCCAGCUCCCCCUGUAAUAAGACUCAAAUGUGUUGGUUAUGUAAAGAAUGUAUUUAUAAUAUAUCUUAUGUUGGUAUUAUAACGUUGUAUCACAGAUCUCCUUGAGAAACAUUUUUCUGUUUAGCAUGCUUGCACGGCAUUAUCCUGCCAUAUCUGAUUCAGUUCUUAGAUUUGCAGCUAAAUACUGUGGUGUCCUUGUUCCUGCUGGUGCUGAGUGAAGUGGGAGAGACAGCAGCAUGAGUGUGUGGUACAGUACAUGCCAUGUUUGCCAUGGCACAGCUUGUGAGAAUCGCACUGGAGUCAUCAAAGUCUUUUCACUGGUUGGUGUGAUUUAGAUAUAGUAGAGAGUCUGUUCAGUCAAAGGCCUGAGAUAGGCCUCCUUCUGCAGAUAACAUGUUCCCAUAGCACAUACUGUGAUAAUAGCUGUCAUGCUCUUUUCUGUACUGUCUAGUUACUGUCUGUUCUCUCCCCCAUAUUCAGCCAUGCUUCCUGUUGAUCUCUACAGACAUGCCUUAUAUAUACAUUAUAUUCACAUAAAACAAAAGCCAGAGCUUGUCAGUUGUAUAUUCUAAGUAAUGAUUGUUUGACAGUGCCAUGUUUUUUUUCCUUCU